rnacentral:lncRNA from 10 species
AGACUCUGCAGAUACUCCUUAGCUGAGUUUUUAGUAGACUGUUCAGCUCCCAGUGUCACAGUACUUUUGUCUUCUUAGCCAUAGAAAGCUUUGUUAAUUUGGUCUUGCUGUCUUUUCCCAUCUUCUGUCUUGGCUCAUUUGGAGGAGUUACUGAGCAAUAGAGUGGAUGAAAAGAGCAAGGAAAGGAGGCAAUGAGGGAGGUGGAGGUGGAGGUUGAAGAGAAAGAACAAUUGACAAGCCCCUGCUGUAGUUCACAUUCAUGCUUUGCAGAAGUUAAUCCCAUUUGAAAUCUCAUAAUAGCCCUGCAAGGUAUCCCCAUUCUCACAAGCGGGAUCUUGCUGAACCCUAAGCUCCAGGAGCAAAUCUGGUUUUGCUCCUCAGUGUACAAGAGGUCCUCAAAUAAAAUUGUUUUGUUCAAUGUUAUUUUGUUAUAACAUUGAUGAGAACAAAAUCUGAUUCUUGGCCAGGGCCACUGUAUAUGUGGAGUUGGCACAUUCUCCCCAUGCCUGCGUGGAUUUUCUCCAGGGCCUCAGGUUUCCUCCCGCAUCCCAAAGAUGUGCACGUCAAGUACUUUGACGUGUCUCUUUUGUCCCAGUCUGAUGGAGUGUGGAUGCGUGUGAGUGCACCCUGCAAUGGGGAUGGCGCCCUGUCCGGGGCGGGUUCCUGUCUGGUGCCCUGAGCUGCCAGGAGAGGCUCCAGCCACCUGAGACCCGGAACUGGAAUAUGUGGAUGCUGAGAUGACUUGAGCCAAAUGAAAUUGCAUGUAUGACUGUUCAUUUCUCCUCACUCCACUCACGGUAGGUGCCAGAGACAGAGGGCCUCAAGCCAGGGAAGGAGGAUGUGACAUUGCUUUCCUCUUCGUAGAGGCGAUGUCACCCUUGGGCACUUGCUCCUAGAGAGCUGCAUGCAGCUGGCAACUGCACCAGCACAGCAAUAUCGCCCACAGCAGGCUCCGCUGAGGCCAAGCCCCACCCCGCCCAGGUUCCUACUCUCCCUUCUGCUUUGCAUUUUGUGAUGAUGGCAAAUCACUCUUUUCCAAACGAAAAAAGAAAAAUGCAAGAUCCAGUCUUGAGAAGGAAUGUUCUCACUUCUCAAAGAGCUACUGGUCUAUAAUGCGAGAAAGCUGGAAAGCUGUUUAUUGGAAGAACUGUGGAUGUUUCUUGUCACGAAGGCAUGACCCUAUGGCGCUGAAAGGCAUAUAUUUCGGAAUAACAACUUCUAGCAUAUAUUUUGGAAUGUAACCCUCUCAAAGAACUACCUUGCAGCUCUCAAGGACCACCGUGAUCUCAAGGAGAAGUUAUCUACGAGCAAAUAUAGAAGGGAGAGAAGGACCAGGAAGAGGCAAGUUGGCAGAACCCAGGAUAAAUCCACAUUUGGGGGUUAUACUGAGAACAGCGAGGAAGUUCUCUUACAACUUAUGACCAGAAUAUCCACUAGCAAAAUGUAGUGGCCUGUUUCCUCCAUCCAAAAGAGAAAUGGAAAGCCCCAAACUUGGGAUCAAGAAAGUGAAUAACAUAAUUAUAAAAGGGUGAAAGUCUAACACAAACUGUCCUUUUGAGGACAGCAGAGCCCAUGGGUCAGAAAAAGCCUAACAGCCCCUGACUUAACCCCUUUCUUACUGUGUGACCUUGGGAAGUGACCUAAGUGCUCUGAGCUUUUGACUUUUAUAGGUAAAGUAGGUAAUAAUACCAACCUCCUGGGGGUAUUCAGAGAGAGAAGUGAUAAAAUGCAAGGAAAGUAUUUAGCACAAUGCCUUGCACCAGGUUGUCAGUCAACAGUAGCUAACUCAGUAUCGAUGGCAGCCAAAACCACACAAGCACCACAUGCCCGAUGUCCGAUAAAGGCACGUUGCAGGGAUUUUGCCAUUAUUUCUGGUGCCAUAUAGAAUACCCCUUAGCUCCUGACCCUGGUACCAUUUUUUGCUGGUUCUGCCUGACUCCUGCAUGUUGACUCAGUUUCCAUUUUUAGCUCUAUUCCUGCAGGUUGGACCACAGAUGUUGGUUUUCUAGGUAAUCUCUAUCCGGAAUUGGGCCUAUUUGCUUAACACCUAGCACUACCACACAGGAAGGUGAGGAUGAGAUUUGGAUAGUAGGAUUUGAAAAAUGAGACACUGUUAAUUCAUGAGAAAGAAGUAUGAGGGUUUUAGUUAAUUGUAAAAUCCACACGGUCAGCAACAAAUUUGGGAGGAGGGGUGAGUGUAAUCUGAUUCCAAAACUCAAGGGGGGGCCUCCAAGUGGGCAUGUGCUUGAUUUUGGGCAGUAGAAAGAUCUAGCAAUAAGUAUUUAGUAGGCACUAUUUAUCAAGUAUUCACUAUAUACUAGACACUAUUCGUUGAAAUUUAUAAACAUGAUUUAAUAUAAUCCUUCAACCACUGUUAGAAAAGAUUGUACAAAGUUUUACCAACCAGGAAAUAACUUACUUGAAGUCAAACAGCAAGCAAGUAUUGAAUCUGGAAUUUGACACAGGCCUUCAAAGCUAAUAUAUAUUUUUUUAACAACUGAAUAACUCUAACAUUGGCCCCAAAUUGGGCCUUUCCUCAACAAUUAGUAAUUAUCACACACACAUAUUUUGUCUCUCCCUUCCUCUCAAACACUCAGAAGAGUUAGCUAGAAAAGCACUCAUAGAUUAUUAAUUUUUAGUGUCUCAUUUUUUAUGCCUCUCUUCUUAAAAACUAUGUUUUGUAUCAACAGAUCUUGCUCAAUCUCUUAGAGUUUUGGAGCAACAUUGUUACCUGAUUCCAAAGACAAAAUGAAAUGGCAUAAUAAAAUGAAAAUGGUUGUGUUCUUCAGCUUUAAAUGUGCAAAACUACUCUGCAAGUUAAGUAAGGCCUUUUGUUUGCUGGACUGUCAAAACACAUUUAGAAAACAUGGUUUUCAAGUGAUCUAUUUUAACUGGAACAUGAUAGAACUAAAAUUUAUCUAUUGAAGCUAAGCUGCAAACCAUGUCACAUAGGAAGGGUUGAAAAGAAAUGGGAAAACAGAAAACUAAAAGGGACAUAAUAGUUGUUUUCAAAUAUUGAAAGGUUGUUGUGAAGAAGUCAAAUUGAAUGUAUCCAUGUGGUCUUAAGGAGUGCAUAGGGGGCUGUUAGAUGGAAGUCACUAAAUGUAAUGAAUGUUCUUAUGUUCUUGUGUAUAUUCAGAUUAUUCUGUGUUCAAAGGGGGCAUUUUGGUGGCUAGUUGGGUUUUUGGCUCUAUAGUUGUCCAGCAGAGGCUGGCUUGAGGAUGGACUUCUUAUACUUGGACAGUGGGUCAGAUUAAUGACUACUAAGAGUCUGUAAUUUUACCCAUCAAAUUGCAUCAUCCAAAUAGGCAGGUAUACUCAUUGCUGUCGGAGGCUUUUGCAAGAAUCUGAGACAGACAGACUAGGAGUGAGGGUAGGGGUACCACUGCCCAUGAGACUACAGGAAGGCCUGGUGAGAGAAGGAGUGAGAUGAGAGAAGAAAUGGGAGAGCUGAGGUCAGAGGUCAAGGGAAGCGAAUUGAGUGUCAACCAUAGGUGGUAGAUAAAUAGAAGCAUGGUGCAUUGGUAGAGGUUGGAAUGAAGCAGGAAGUUAGAGUGCAGUGGGCAAGAAGGCAAUGUAGGGGAUCCAGUGGAUAAAGUUAGUCCAGGUCCUUAAUCUGCUGACACUGGAUUUAAAAAUGCAAAAUAAAUUUUUCUUAUUUCAAAUGCAAGACAUGCUCAUUACAAAAAUCUGAAAUAUAGAUUUUCAUUACACAAACAAGAAAAUAUAAAUUCCCAGAGUUCUAGUCAAUCAGAGAAAACUAUUAAAAACACGUUAGUAGAGCCGAGCGCGAUGGCUCAUGCCUGUAAUCCCAGUACUUUGAGAGGCUGAGACAGGAGGAUCACCUGAGGUCAGGAGUUGGAGACCAGCCUGGCCAACAUGGUGAAACCCUGUCUCUACUAAAAAUACAAAAAUUAGCUGGACAUGGUGGUGGGCGCCUGUAAUCCCAGCUACUCAGGAGACUGAGGCAGGAGAAUCACUUGAACCCUGGAGGCAGAGGUUGCGGUGAGCUGAGAUCGCCCCACUGCACUCCAGCCUGCAUGACAGAGUGAGACUCUGUUUCAAACAAAACAAAACAAAAACAAAAACUAAAACUAAAAAACACAUUGGUGUAUAUCCUUCUGAAUGCUUUUCUAGGCAUAUAUACAACACACACACUGACAUUCUAAAAUAAAAUCCAUAUACAUUUUCAUACAGUUUUAUGAGCUAUUUUUUUCAGUUAACAUCUUAUUAACAUCUUUCCUUUCAACGGGCCACUUCACAUGAUUAUGAAUGUUAGUCAUGUGUGUCAAGGUAUAAAUGGAUGUCUCAUAGUUUAUUUUAGCCUGAGGUUUUACAAUUUUAUUUUAAACACUGGAAUCCUUUCAUGAAACAAAAUCAUACAUGGGGCGUAGCAAAUAAACAGAUAAACAAAACAAACAGAGCAGCUCCAUUUGAUGAGUAAAAUUGCAAAGUCAAGAGUCAGUCAUAUUUUGAAAACUUUGGCUGUAUAUUACCAAAUUUUUUUCCAGAGAGAUUGUGAGAGCCUGUUUUAUUACCCUUUCACCAUCAUGGAAUAUUUUAAAAAUGUUCUCAAAUUUUGUCUUAUGAUGUUAAUGUGCC